UUGUCCUUCAGUGGCUGUGGGGCAGCUGCCGUGGUCGUACUACGGUAUUUGGCGAGGAGCUGAGAGCUAACGAGCGAGCCGGGCGGGCGGCGCGGCGGCGGGCGCAGGAGGAGGAGCCCGGGCUGGCGAGGGACGGCUGAGCUGUGUCCUGGCGGCCGGUGCGCGCGAGGGACCGGAGCUUCCUGCACGACGCCUGUGAGGGAAGUGCAGAGAGCAGCCGCCCGCGCUCCUGCGGUGGCAGGAGCAGCCCGCACGCCGCUCUCUGUGGAGACCUGCAGUUGCAAUAUGACUUUGGAGGAAUUCUCGGCUGGAGAGCAGAAGACCGAAAGGAUGGAUAAGGUGGGGGAUGCCCUCGAGGAAGUGCUCAGCAAAGCCCUGAGUCAGCGCACCAUCACCGUCGGGGUGUACGAGGCGGCCAAGCUGCUCAACGUCGACCCGGAUAACGUGGUGCUGUGCCUGCUGGCGGCGGACGAGGACGACGACAGGGAUGUGGCCCUGCAGAUCCACUUCACCCUGAUCCAGGCGUUCUGCUGCGAGAACGACAUCAACAUCCUGCGCGUCAGCAACCCCGGCCGGCUGGCCGAGCUCCUGCUCCUGGAGACCGGUACCGGCCCGACGGCCAGCGAGGGCGCCGAGCAGCCCCCCGACCUGCACUGCGUGCUGGUGACGGUAAGGGCGAGAAGGGGGCUUCGCACGGAUCUGGGUUGGAAUCCUGGAAGGGCAGAGAGUCGCCUGACUGCAGAUCUGGAAGGGGUGGAGGUGGCUGCCUUUGCCCCCACUUAAAGAGUGUGAUCGGACUUUCAGCCGAGAUGUACUAGUUUCAUCAUCAGGAUUUUCCCUGGUACAGAACAUGUCUAAGCAUGUUGGAGGCUGCCAGCAGCGGAAGAGAUCCCUAAUCCACAUUCAUCGCAAUGGAAGGAUCCUGCCUUAAGUCAACUUAUUUGUUUUUGCCGGGAAAGUCGCUACAUGGAUCAGUGGGUUCCAGUGAUUAAUCUCCCUGAACGGUGAUGGCAUCUGAAUGAAAAAAGCUGAACCAAAUUGCACUGAAGUUUUGAAAUACCUUUGUAGUUACUCAAGCAGUUACUCCCUACACUGAUGCAAGGAUUACAGAAACUGAUGUCUAGGGGCUGAGUGAGUUUAACUACAUGUUCUGGGAGACCGGAGAUAGAUGACUUUGCAGAUGGAAAGAGGUGAAAAUGAAGAAGGAAGCUGUGUUGAAACAGAAAUCCAAGUCAAAAGGAACAAAAAUUACAGAGAACCAUGCAGGAAGGAAAACAAACUACGUAUUAAUUUGGGAUGGUCGAGUUACAUUAAAGUAAACCAGAUAUGCUUUGUUAAAGUUUAAAUGUGCAGCAGUAGUUCUGGAUAUGUUUGGUUUAUAUGCCCUAAAGUUAAAAAGAAAAAAAAAGCAGAAAGAGUUCAUCAUAUUUUAAAACCAUAUUUUAUUGUAUUUUGAUGAGAUGUUAAAUUUUCAAAAGUUUUAUUAUAAAUUGUACUAAGUUAUUUUAUGACAGGAAAGGUUAUUUAUGCUAUAAAUUUUUUGAAACACAAUGCCUACAAUAAACUGGUAUAGAAUACUUGCA